rnacentral:lncRNA from 1 species
AAGAAGGGAAGGAGGAAAGGAAGGAAGGAAGAAGAAAAAUGAGAAAAAGAAACAAGAUAAAUGAACUACUUUUUUGAAUAUUACCAUUUUCAAAGAGAUUAUGGGGGGUUAGCAAGUAUAUAUAUAAUUUAUUGUAUUUUCUUUGUAAGAUCUAUUAUAAUACAAAUGAUAAUGUAAAAAUUGGGAUUAUUCCUACAAGUAGAUAUUUGGAUUAUAAUGUGUGUCUCUGCAACAUUGAAACUUUUCUUUUUAAUAGGCAUGUAUUGGAUUAAUUGUCUUAUUUUUAUCACUUCACUUUAGGGAUCUGAUUGUAAAGCAAUGUGAUUAAUUUGAAAACACUGUUUAAAAUACAUUUUGUUAAAUAUUUCAAUUUUAAGGGAAAUUGAUUUUCUAAUUAAGUACCCUAUAAUGUUUAAAAUAUUAGCAUUAGGCAUAUGCAUAGAUACAUUUGAUAUUUUUACAGAAGCCUGCAUCAUUUAAAUAACUUAAUAUAGAUAUAUUGAUGGUAAUAAAAACAUGAGAGUUGAUUUCAUCAUUUGUUCAUUAGUAACCAUUUUCAUAUACAUCAAAACACUAUUAAAUCAUUGAUGAGUUUUUUCAUUAAAGAGACUGAUGAUAAGGUGAAAAUAGUAUUUUUAAAAGCAUAAUGUAAAUAUAUCAAUGGAUACACUUAUUUUUAUCAGUGAGUUUUACUGACAUAUAACACAUACAGAAGAGUUUACUCAUCAUUAGUUCAAUGAAUUUUUGCAAUGUGAACACACCAUGCAGUUACCAAACAAAUUAACAGCCAGACAAUUACCAGCACAUCAGAGCCCUGGUGUCAGUCUCUAGCCAGUCCAACCCAAAAGAAACCAUUACACUGACAUCUGAUGUUGCUGACUGUAGAUUAGUUCCAUCUGUUUAUAAAUUUGUUCUUUUGGUUUGUUCACUCUAUGUUAUGUUCCUAAGAGUCACUUAUCUUGCAAGAUGUAAGUGUUCUUUCAUUCUCAUUCUUUACAGUAGUCUGUAUGGAGAGAUGAUUUAUAUAUCUAUCUUACUAUUGAUGGACUUUUGGUUGUUUCCAAGGUUUUACUAUUAUAAAUAGUUCAGAUAAAAACACUUUUAUAUAUUCAUUUUGGGCAUAAUGUGCACAUAUCUAUUUUGUAUUCUCUUAGAAUGGAAUUAUUAAGUCACAGGUUAUUUCUAGAUUCAAUUUUUCUUCCUCCCUCUUUUUCUUUUUUUUUUUUUUUCUUUCAUUUCCUUUCCUUUUUCAUUUUUCCUUCCUUCCUUCUACUGUGCUGGUAAUUCCAGCUUUUGAUUUAUUAAAAAACUUAUUAAAAUACACAGGGGCUUCUAGAAUUUCCCCUGCAAUGCUAAGGUAAAAGAACAUGUUACCUCUACCUCAUUUAUAGUUUUUACUAUCGUGUUUUAUUUUCUAUGUGUGUUUUAAAAGGCAUAUUAUUACUGUUUGUAAUGGUAUUCAUUGGAUUCACCCACAUACUGACAUUUGUAUAUCUCUUCAUUUUUUUCCUAUUUUAUAUAGGAAAUGUAUGUUGUUAUUUACAUAGGAAAUAUAUAUUGCAUAUGGAAACAUUUUUAUUUUGACUGAAUAGCUCCUUUUAGCAUUCCUUUUAGUGUUUUUAUUCUGGAAAAUAUUUUUUUAAACUUUUUGGAAGUAUGUUUCUUUUACUUUUACUUUAUUAUUUUUAUUUAUUUUUUAUUCUGGCAGGAUAUGCACAUGUACAGAUUUAAGAAACUCACAAGAUUUACAGUGAAAUGUAAAUAUUGCUACAGGUACCCAAGUCAGUUAGCUGCCCUCUUGAGAGGCAACUGCUAUUAUCAGUUUCUUAUGAAAACUGAAAUUAUUCUAUGUACCGAUCAACAUAUUCCAAUACUUAUAUAGUCAUCCAACUAUCUAUUUAUCUAUCUAAUCAACUGUCUAUUUUCAUCAUCAUCUAGCUAUAUACAAAUAGUGGAAUAUGAUAUAUACUUUUAAAAUUCUUUUUAAUUUUAAAUCAAUUUUAUUGAGAUAUAAUUCACGCAAAAUGGCAUAUACACUUUUUAACUCUACGGUUUGAUGCACUUUAGCAAAGAUACGCUGUCUGUAUAAUCAUCACCAUAAUCAAGAUAUAGAACAUUUCCGUUUUUCCCCAAAUUGUUCUUAUUUCUAGAUCGAUCCAUAUUACUCAUCAGUCCCUGGCUCCAAACAACUGUGAAAGAUUUUUGUCAAUAAAUAUUAGAUAUGUAUUUUCUAGAGUUUAGCAUAAAUGGAAUUAUGUCAGAGACUUAAGAUGGAGAGUUAGUUGAUUUGAGGUCUAUCUUCCUUGUUAAAUGUAAUUAUUCAUAGCUAUAAAUUUCCUUUUAAAUACUGCUUCACUUGUAUCCUAAAAGUCUGGUAUAUUGCACAUUUAUCUUCAUCUGUCUCAAAGUCUUUUCUAUUUGGUCUUGUAUUUUUUUUCCUUAACAUAUUGGUUGUCUGGAAUUGUGUUGUCCAAAUUCCAUAUGUUGGUGAAUUUCCUAAAUUUAUUUUUGUUAUUAAUUUCUAAUUUCAUUCCAAGUGUUUAGGGAAUAUACUUUGUAAAAUUUCAGCUCUUUCAAAUUUAUUAAUAAAGCUUGUUUAUAGCCUAGAAUAUGAUCUGAUGGAGAAUAUUAUAUUGGUACUUAAGAAAAAUGUAUGUUUUUCUGGGUGUGGGUUCUAUAGAUGUAUGGUAGAUCUAUUCUGUAGAGUAGUGUUGCUCAAAUUUUCUAUUACCUCUUUGUCUUAUAUUCAUUUAUUAGUCUUUUUUUCUGAUAUUAGCAUAGCUCUUCCAGUUUUUCUAAAGGUUACUGUUCUUUCUUAUUUCGUAUCAUUUUCUAUUCUUAACUUUCAACCCCUUUAUAUAUUUAAAUCUAAAGUGUAUCUUCUAUAGACAGCAUGUAGUUGGAUCUUGCUUUUUGUCCAUUCUGACAAUCUCUGCCUUUUGAUCAUAUUGUUAUUCCAUUCAUGUUUAAUGUUAUUAUUACUAUGUUUAGAUUUACAUCUGCCAUUUUAUUUCUCAUUUUCUAUAUAUGUCAUGUCUUUUGGGGGGAUAAAGCUUUUUUCCUAUGGGUGGGGGCUGGAUGGAUGAAGAAGACCCCCAACCUUCAACCACAUUCAUGAGGAAUUUAGUUUCUUCAACUUAGAGUCAUAGGAGAUGAGAAAUUCCAGCGCCUGAGGGAGCCCUAUCUUAUAGACCAUACCUACCUAGAUUGGAAUUUCCAUCAAAAAUGAGUUUGGGUAAAGGGGUAGAGGGAGAAGAGUAUAGGUCAAAUGCCAUAAACUCUUACUAUUUUUACCAAGUUUUAGUAGAUUUUACUUUUUUUAAUCAUUUACUCCAUGCCCUUAGAUAAUUUCCAGAGAUUUUAAAUGGUUGGUUUCUUUUGUAAUUUUUAUCACCUUUGCUUAUUUCCCUUGGAAGUGAGUCUGCAUAACUCCUCAUACUACAUCUCCCAACGUGGAACCAUUUACCUUCUCCUUUGAGGGCCAUUUUGCUGAAUAAAGAAUUCUGUGUUAGCAGUUACUUCCUUUUGGAACUUUAAAUAUGCUGACUAUUGAAGAUUCCAUACUUUUAGCUUCACUUCUUUUCCUUUUUUCUAGUACCUUGAACCCCCAAUUACUGCCUGCAUCAGCUGUAUUUCAAAAUAUUUAAAUAUAUUUUUAAUGUAUUCAAGUUUUCGAGAAUAUAGGAAAAACAUUCUCUUAUAUAAAUCAUAGCAAUGUUUUCUCAGGUCAGUCUCCCAAGGCAAUAAAAAUAAAAGCAAAAAAUAAACGAAUUGGACCUGAUUAAACUUAAAAGCUUUUGCACAGCAAAAUAAGUCAUAAAACAAAAAGACAACUUACAGACUGGGAAAAAAUAUUUGUAAGCAGUGAAACCAACAAGGGCCUGUUUUCCAAAAUAUACAAACAACUCAUACAAUUCUAAAAACAAGCAAACAAACAAGCAAAAAAACCCACAACCCAGUAAAAAAUGUGCAGAAGACCUAAACAAACAUUUGUCCAAAGAAGACAUACAGAUGGCCAAUAGGCACAUGAAAAGAUGUGCAACAUUGCUAAUUAUUAGGAAAUGCAUAUCAAACUACAGAGUUAUUGAGAGUUCCUGUUGUGGCUCAGCAGUAAUGAAUCUGACUAGUAUCCACGCAGAUGUGGGUUCAGUCUCUGGCCUUGCUCAGUGGAUUACAGAUCUAGCAUUGCCAUGAUCUGUGGUAUAGGUCGCAGACAUGACUUGGAUCUGGCAUUGCUGUUGCUGUGGUGUAGGCUGGCAGGUGCAGCUCCCAUUCAACCCCUAGCCUGGGAAUAUCCAUAUACUGCAUGUGUGGCCCUAAAAAGCAAAAAAC